rnacentral:rRNA from 1 species
UACGGAGGGGGCUAGCGUUGUUCGGAUUUACUGGGCGUAAAGGGCGCGUAGGCGGCGUGUUAAGUCAGCUGUGAAAUCUCCAAGCUUAACUUGGAACGGUCAGCUGAUACUGAUGUGCUAGAGUGCAGAAGGGGCAAUCGGAAUUCUUGGUGUAGCGGUGAAAUGCGUAGAUAUCGGGGAGGAACACCAGUGGCGAAGGCGGCUCACUGGCCCGGUACUGACGCUGAGGUGCGAAAGCGUGGGGAGCAAACAGG